UCUCUCUGCUUUUCUCCGAGAAACGCCGCACCGAAUCAUCCUAGAGAAACUCCGCACCGAAUCGUUUCUAUCACUCUGCAUCAACUUUCAAGAGGUAACUUCACAACACAAUGAAAGGAGCUAUCAUCCAGUGAAGGAAUCUCACAAGGAUAGGGAGUGGAAAAUGGAUCAAAAGAAGAUCCCAACAAUCAGCGACACUUAUAUUAGAUCAAUGGCCCCAUUAGAACUCAUGAACUUUAACGUUAGAUGUAUUUUGGAAAUCGUAUUUAUAUCUGGACUGAAUCUUGUCAGUACAAUGAAAGCUUUGCCCUUUCCUUUCUCCAUUUGGAAAUUGUAUCUGUAUUUGCAAAACCAUGUGUCUUGGAUCAAAGCAGUUUCAUGAUUAUCUGUA